rnacentral:tRNA from 1 species
GCUUUGGUUGGUAGCGCGUCUGCCUUGUAAGCACUAGGUCGCGGGUUCGAUUCCUGCCCGGGGCG